UACGUAGGGUGCAAGCGUUAAUCGGAAUUACUGGGCGUAAAGCGUGCGCAGGCGGUUAUGCAAGACAGAUGUGAAAUCCCCGGGCUCAACCUGGGAACUGCAUUUGUGACUGCAUGGCUAGAGUACGGUAGAGGGGGAUGGAAUUCCGCGUGUAGCAGUGAAAUGCGUAGAUAUGCGGAGGAACACCGAUGGCGAAGGCAAUCCCCUGGACCUGUACUGACGCUCAUGC
rnacentral:rRNA from 1 species